rnacentral:misc_RNA from 1 species
GUUUCCAGUUCAGCAUCGGCAGCGCGCCGUGGGAGCUCACGAGCAGGUCGUUUCCCUUGACGCGGCCGUCGAGGAUCAUGAGCUCGGGACCGGUCAGGCCGAGCUGGAUGCCGACCCGGAAGGUCUCGAGAUUACCGGAGGGCUCGAUGGCGAAGACGCUCCGGACCUCGACCCGUUCCUUCUGCUUGGUGGCGAGGAGCGUGCCCCUGAGGAGCUCGGCCGAGUCGAACCAGGCGUAGCUGUGCAGGUUCACCCAGCCGUCGCUCGUGCGGGUCAGGCUGGUGCGAAUCUGGCCGACCGAGCGAUCGUCGACGUCGUCGUCCUCGCCGGCGACCUGGAUGGCCCAGAGCACGGGGCCCUCGACGGGGCGUUCCGUCUUGAGGAUGGUGUGCAGGUCGGGCGGCGGGCCGAUGAGGAGCCCGGGCAGCACGUCGCGCUGGAGGAGCGCGACGGUUGCGUAGGCCCAGGCCACGAGGAUCACCACGCACAGGGUCCGAUUCGGCAUCCCGGCACGCUCCUUGCUACAUGCUUCAACACUAUAGGCCCCAGUUCCGGGGGUGGACAAGCCGUCCCCAAGGUCUCGAGCCGCGACGCCGGCGGUCGGGAGCCCGCGGGAGCGGGGCGAGGCCGCUCGCGCGGUUCGGCUUGACGCCCAGCCGGGAUCCGAAUAGCCUCCCCACCGGACCGUCGCCCCUUCCUCUCACGCGGUCCCUCCCCACUUGCGGCUCACGUCUUCCGAUCGUUCACGAUCGAUCAGGCCACCGCCACGUGCCGGAGCGCAAGCUCAUGAAAAAGAAGAGAUUGCGGUGGGUCGUCGUGGUCUCGGCCGGGCUCGUGAUGGUGGCCGCGCCGGCGGCCUUCUGGGCCUUUCUGGGGUACCGGCCGCAGUUCUACAGCCGGCUGGUGGAGAUGCCGCCGGAGCAGCGGCGCCGGGAGGCGCGGCGAUUCGUGAACCAGAGCCUGAGGCUUCGCAACGACCUGGCCAACGAGGCGGCGUGGGAGGUGGCGUUUUCGGACCGCGAGGUGAACGCCUGGCUGGCCGAGGACCUGGUCGUGCAUUUCGCGGACCAGAUUCCUCCCGGGGUGCGGGAUCCGCGGAUCGCCUUCGAGCCCGACCGGGCGACCGUGGCGUUUCAGAUGGACAACGGGCCGAUCCGGUCGGUGGUGUGGGCCGUCGUGCAGGUGAGCGUGCCGGAGCCGAACGUGGUGGGGUUCGUGGUCGAGAAGAUCCGGGCCGGGGCGUUGCCGGUGCCGCCGGAGCAGGUGCUCGGUGGCAUGAUCGCGCACGCGAGGCAGCAGGGGCUUCAGGUCGAGUGGGACCCGAAGUCGAGCCCGGCGGAGGUGCGGAUCCGGUACCAGGCCGACCUGGGCCGGCGCGACAUCCACCUCGACAACGUGCGGAUCGCCAACGGCAUGAUCCGGCUGAGCGGGUCGUCGGAGCCGAGCCGGGGCACGCGGACCACGCUGCGGCUGCCCGGGCGCAAGGUGCUUCAGU